rnacentral:rRNA from 1 species
GUGGCAGCAGUCGCGAAAACUCCACAAUGUGGGAAACCACGAUGGGGGAACUCCGAGUGCCGUCCGCUGAGGAUGGCUUUUGCCUGGUCUAACCAGCCGGGUGAAUAAGGGGAGGGCAAGUCUGGUGUCAGCCGCCGCGGUAAUACCAGCUCCCCGAGUGGUUGGGACGAUUAUUGGGUCUGAAGCGUCCGUAGCCGGCCGGAAAAGUUCCCCGUUAAAUCUGGCGAUCCAAUCGUUGGGCUGCGGGGAAUACUCUUCGGCUUGGGGGCGAGGGAGGUCGGCGGUAGUCCCGGGGUAGGGGCGAAAUCCUAUAAUCCCGGGAGGACCACCAGUGGCGAAGGCGGCCGACUAAAACGCGCCCGACGGUGAGGGACGAAAGCUGGGGGAGCGAACGGGAUUAGAUAUGAAGUUGAGUUUUUACCAGCUUCACUAGAAACCCGGGUAGUCC